UCUGAACUGGAACUCUUUACAAGAAUGCACAAACACACACACAGGAACUUGUUACUUCCUGUUUGCACAGAAAUAUAAACUCCCUAUGUGGCCCUAAGUGAAAACGAGUUUGACACCCCUGCUGUAUUUAAUAGGUACACUAUGCCAUGUCUGGUCUGAAGCCAUCCCACCCAUUUUUUCUUCAUCCAAUCAGAGAGCAAACUGAGAAAGUAGAAAACUCCUGUUCCACAGAUACUGUCUUCAUUUUACCUGCAGCAAGAAGAACAAGAUAUACAACCAUCACAUGAUCAUGGAGUUCCCUACACUUAUUGACAACUUCAGACAGAGAUUUCAACUAAGCAGUCAGCUUGAACUGCGAGUCCUUGUCUGCGGUAGAGAAGUUGUUUUGUUGUUGCUAGAGAUGAUUAAGAUAUUUACAAUUAAUAACUUUAGUUUACCUGAAAAAGGUUUAAAUUUGCUGAAAUGUGUUAAGAUUAAUGGAGAAACCCUUUAUGACAUUAUUCUCAAUAAGAUGGCGUCUGUAGUGUGUGAAAGCGGUCUGUGGCUCUGGAGGAAGUUUCUCUCCGUUUCAUACAGAACGAUCAGACGUAGGAUCGCCACCGACAGCGUGGAGGACGAACGAGGAGCCAUAUCUGAUGAUGUACCAUACUAUGAGAUCGUGUGAGUUAAAGUCUUAAAGUGUCUGAUAUUUACUGAACUUAGGUAUCAAAAAUAAUGUUAUGAUAUUAAAUGUGCUUCAUUAUUAGAAGUAAAAGUAAAAAAAAAAAUUGAAUUAACUUUAAAGUGAUUAGAGAUUAAAAUUUCAUAUUUAUUCAUUUCAAUAAAGACAUCAAAAGAGA